rnacentral:tRNA from 1 species
UCUAAUAUGGCAGAUUAGUGCAAUGAACUUAAACUUCAUAUAUAAAGAUAAUCAAUCUUUUAUUAGAA